GUGAACGCUGGCGGUAGGCCUAACACCUGCAAGUCGAACGGCAGCACAGUAAGAGCUUGCUCUUACGGGUGGCGAGUGGCGGACGGGUGAGGAAUACAUCGGAAUCUACUUUUUCGUGGGGGAUAACGUAGGGAAACUUACGCUAAUACCGCAUACGACCUACGGGUGAAAGCAGGGGAUCUUCGGACCUUGCGCGAUUGAAUGAGCCGAUGUCGGAUCAGCUAGUUGGCGGGGUAAAGGCCCACCAAGGCGACGAUCCGUAGCUGGUCUGAGAGGAUGAUCAGCCACACUGGAACUGAGACACGGUCCAGACUCCUACGGGAGGCAGCAGUGGGGAAUAUUGGACAAUGGGCGCAAGCCUGAUCCAGCCAUACCGCGUGGGUGAAGAAGGCCUUCGGGUUGUAAAGCCCUUUUGUUGGGAAAGAAAAGCAGCAGGUUAAUACCCCGCUGUUCUGACGGUACCCAAAGAAUAAGCACCGGCUAACUUCGUG
rnacentral:rRNA from 1 species